UACAGAGGUCCCAAGCGUUGUUCGGAUUCACUGGGCGUAAAGGGUGCGUAGGUGGUGAGGUAAGUCGGAUGUGAAAGCUCGGAGCUCAACUCCGAAAUGGCAUUGGAAACUACCUUGCUAGAGGAUUGGAGGGGGGACUGGAAUACUUGGUGUAGCAGUGAAAUGCGUAGAUAUCAAGUGGAGCACCAGUGGCGAAGGCGAGGCCCUGGACAAUACCUGACACUGAGGCACGAAAGCUAGGGGAGCAAACAGG
rnacentral:rRNA from 1 species